UGGCAUCGAUGAAGAACGCAGCGAAAUGCGAUACUUGGUGUGAAUUGCAGAAUCCCGUGAACCAUCGAGUCUUUGAACGCAAGUUGCGCCCGAGGCUAUCCGGCCGAGGGCACGCCUGCCUGGGCGUCACGCCUCGCGUCGCUCCGCGCACCCUGCCCCCCCGUCAUGGGGAGGCGGCGGGCGCAGAUGCGGAGAUUGGCCCCCCGUGCCUGACGGCGCGGCGGGUCGAAGUGCGUGCCGCCGGCCGGGACGGACGCGGCGAGUGGUGGACGGACACGUGCGGCGCUCAACGUCGCCUCCGCCCCCCGGCCCCGGAGGUGCAUGCAAGGAACCCACGCCGAGCACCCCUCGGAACACGACCCCAGGUCAGGCGGGGCCACCCGCUGAGCUUAA
rnacentral:rRNA from 1 species